UACGUAGGGACCAAGCGUUGUUCGGAUUUACUGGGCGUAAAGGGCGCGUAGGCGGCUUGACAAGUCACUUGUGAAAUCUCCGGGCUUAACUCGGAACGGCCAAGUGAAACUGUUGAGCUAGAGUGUAGAAGGGGCAAUCGGAAUUCUCGGUGUAGCGGUGAAAUGCGUAGAUAUCGAGAGGAACACCAGAGGUGAAGACGGGUUGCUGGGCCGACACUGACGCUGACAGCGCGAAAGCCAGGGGAGCAAACGGG
rnacentral:rRNA from 1 species